CCCUUAGAUGUUCUGGGCUGCACGCGCGCUACACUGAAGCGUUCAACGGGUAUUCACCUUGCCCGGGAGGGUUGGGUAAUCUUUUCAAAACGCUUCGUGAUGGGGAUAGAUUAUUGCAAUUAUUAAUCUUCAACGAGGAAUUCCUAGUAAGCGCGAGUCAUCAGCUCGUGCUGAUUACGUCCCUGCCCUUUGUACACACCGCCCGUCGCUACUACCGAUUGAAUGGCUUAGUGAGCCUUUGGGAUUGGCAGCUUGUACCGGCAACGGUAGCAGGCCGCUGAAAACUUAGGCAAACUUGGUCAUUUAGAGGAAGUAAAAGUCGUAACA
rnacentral:rRNA from 1 species